UAUAUAAACACACACUGAGAGCGACUGUAUGCGCUACUCACACACCGAGAGAAGUGUAUGAGAGGGAGAGAGACGAGAGAUAAUGUGUGUGUAAGUGAGAGAAGGAACGCUACUAGUGGAAUAAAGAGGGAGAGAGAGACGACUCACGGUAGCACCAAGUAGCAUCAGAAGACUCCUUGAGCUCACUAUCCAUCGGGCUCUGCUUCAAGAACUAACGGCAAUAAGAGGAUUAUUCUUGUUUUUUCAUUUCCUUUUUUUAUAUUUUUCUCUUCAUCUGCCUCGUGAGCAACACUUUACUUUUGAGAGAUUUAAAGAGGUAUAAUACGUUUUUUUUUCUGGAAUAGAGAGUUUAAAAAAAAAUUAAAAAAAAACUUUCCAUUUCUUGAAACGUUUAAAGCCCCAGUUUAUUUUCAGAAUACUUUCCGAGACUCGCUCACUAUUUCCACGCGCUCUGGGAGCGGGACAAAUACUUGUCAAACUGAUUUUUUUUUUUUAAUCCAUUAUAUUUUUUUUUAAUUGACUUAUUUAAGGGCAAUUUCAAAUCAAACCAACAUGAGAUUUCAAAACGUUAAUUCAUCCGUUUCUCGUUGAAUUAUCUCCUUCAUUCAAGUCAUUGAAGGUGACGUUUUGAGGAGUUAUAAAUGCCUUUUAUUUCACCCUACUGAUUGAUAACUUUGAAACUGUGAGAGAGGGGAAGUCGUUUAGCGCAUCACCUGUUGAGCUUCCCACAGGCCUACACACUCAACUCAAAUUCAAGUCGAUCUAUUUCAACAACAUUUGCUCUAUCGCAACAUUUUUUUUUUUCCAUAGUUAUAUUUCAUAAUCAAUCAAUUAUAACCAAUCAAGUACAUAACAAUCGAUAUAUUGAAUUGAUCAUCAUCAGAGCAUUUCCAACUCCAUCCCUGUAACCCAACUUCUCCCAACGACAUCGUGGUGAGAUCAAGGGAUUUUUCUCCCACCACCCCAAUCACCAUCACUCAGACACCGACCCUUCCUCGCCAUGCUGUUCGAUAACUUUGACCUGGUUUCAGCCUUGGCCACGCUAGCGGCCUGCGCGGUGUCCAUGGCCCUCCUCCUAGUUGUGUCCCAGCAACUCUGGCAGCUCCGAUGGACAUCAACACGAGACAAAAACUGCAAGCUGCCGAUGCCUAAAGGUUCCAUGGGGUUCCCCAUCAUAGGAGAAACCUGCCACUGGCUCGUCCAGGGGUCGGCGUUCCACGCAUCACGGAGGCAGAAGUACGGCAACGUCUUCAAGACCCACCUGCUGGGACGCCCCCUGAUCCGGGUCACCGGUGCGGAGAAUGUCCGGAAGGUUCUAAUGGGAGAACACACGUUGGUCAGCGUGGACUGGCCUCAGAGCACCUCGACCCUACUGGGACCCAACUCACUGGCUAACUCUAUAGGAGAUAUACACCGCAAGAGACGAAAGGUCUUCUCCAAGGUGUUCAGUCAUGAGGCUCUUCAGUCCUACCUCCCUAAGAUCCAGCAGGUGAUCCAGGAGUCACUGAGGCUGUGGAGCUCCAACCCAGAACCCAUCAAUGUCUACAGGGAAUCCCAGAGGCUGUCGUUCCACAUGGCAGUGAGAGUACUGCUGGGGUUCAGAGUAGCAGACGAGGAGAUGAGACACCUGUUCACCACCUUCCAGGAGUUUAUAGACAACAUCUUCACUCUUCCGUUAGACCUGCCAUUCAGUGGAUACAGGAAGGGCAUCUGUGCCAGGGACACUCUCCAGAAGGGGAUAGAAAAGGCCAUCAGGGAGAAACCCCUCUGUUCCCAGGGGAAGGAUUAUAGCGACGCACUAGAUAUCCUACUGGAGAGCGCAAAAGAGAACGGCACCGAACUCACCAUGCAGGAACUCAAGGAGGCGACCAUUGAGCUGAUCUUCGCAGCGUUUGCCACCACGGCCAGUGCCUCCACCUCUCUCAUCAUGCAGCUCCUACGCCACCCUGCCGUGUUGGAGAAGUUACGAGAGGAGCUCCGGACCAGGGGGAUCCUCCACAACGGCUGUCUGUGCGAGGGGGAACUGGGUCUGGACACCAUCGUUAGUCUGAAGUAUCUGGACUGUGUGAUUAAGGAGGUGCUGAGGCUCUUCACGCCCGUGUCUGGGGGUUAUAGGACGGCCCUGCAGACCUUUGAACUAGAAGGGGUACAGAUCCCGAAGGGUUGGAGUGUGAUGUACAGCAUCAGAGACACACACGACACCUCCUCCGUCUUCAAGGACGUGGACGCCUUCGACCCCGACCGCUUCUCCCAGGAACGCUGCGAGGACAAGGAGGGACGCUUCCACUACCUCCCGUUCGGCGGCGGCAUCCGCUCCUGUCUCGGGAAACAGCUCGCCACUCUCUUCCUCCGUAUACUGGCCAUCGAGCUAGCCAGCACCAGCCGGUUUGAGUUGGCGACCCGGAAUUUUCCUAGAGUGGUGACGGUGCCGGUGGUUCAUCCGGUGGACGGGUUGAAGGUGAAGUUCUAUGGUCUGGAUUCUAACCAGAAUGAGAUUUCAUCCGAUCUCCUAGCCGACAUCAAGACGGAAGAGCUACCGGGAGCCGCGGUGUAGAUCGUUGAUCUGGAUUGGACGAAGCAAGGAGGAAAGAGGAAGGAGGAAGGGAGACGUGUGUCUGUCAGUCGGGCCUGAGGACUGGACUUCUUAUGGACACAACAAAGCUAAGUCGGAGAGAGAGGGAGAGUGUCGUUGACCUCUGUGGAAUGCCAUGGUGACAUUUUGACAUUGCUGCUCCUCUUUAUCAACACUAAAAUGCAAAAAAAAUAAAAAUACAAACUUUAUUAGCUAACUAGAUUAAA